GGCCGAGGCCUCGGUGGAAUCGCCCUUGCAGCUCUACUGGCCGCGUUUGAGGAGGUUUCGGCGUUUCACGUGGGCCGGGGCCAUAGGUCGGCGGCAGUCUGCCCUAAGGACCAAAGGGAGGCCUCAACCCUGGAUGACAUACAGGAACAGGAUUCCUUUCCAGCCAGAGUCUGCAGAUUCUAGCAAUUGCUGUUGAAGUUAUGGACCAGCCUCAUUCAUUUCCUUAUCCAGCACCUAAUAAUCAUCUUUCUCCACCUACCAAAUGGGAGAUCGUGCCAUCUCUGCCUCACGGUGAUGAGAUAUUACGACACAUCCAGAAAAAUUCAUAAAGUACCUUGCAGAGUGGGCCUACACUGUGGUUUUCACCAUUGGAAUCACGGGCGGGAACGCAUCAGACAAAAGACAUCGGCUCUGGAAUCUGUCGGAAAGAUAUUCUCCACAAAUGGAAAAAAAGAAACUUCUAUCGUUAAAACACGUAAUCAGCCUACGCUAAAACAUUUACAGAAAAAGAGGUGGAGAAACAGUAAGCCGCAGGACCCCCUCCCACUUCGGCCGCAGUGGUGGGCGGGACUUGGGGCUUGGCCACGCCCCCUUGCGCCAAGCUCCCUGAGGGGCGCGGCCCACCCCAGCCACCCGCCGGGGCGCUGGGCGAAGCCGGUUCUGUC